UGAAAUUUAAACGGCCGCGUUAGCGUGAGCGUGCUAAGGUAGCGUAAUAAAUAGCCUCUUAAUUGGAGGCCAGUGAAAGGCAAGACUAGGAACACCUGUGCUCUUUAUACCAAAAAAAUUUUUCAUCUAAGUGAAAAGACUUAGAUACUAAAGGAAGACGAAAAGACCCCGCGGAACUUUAUCUUUUCUCACACUACUGCCUAGUAGCACAAAAAUGUAAUAGAUUUGAUUGGGGCAAUCUCGGAACUACCAAAGCUUCCGAUUCCUGCUAAAACACAUCCAAAAUUUGGUGCAGACAAAACAGCAGUUACCCCGGGGAUAACAGCGUCAUCCAACUUAAGAGUACACAUCGAAAGUUGGGUUUGCGACCUCGAUGUUGGCUUAAGGUUAUCCACAUUAGUGCAACCGCUAUGGAAGGACAGUCUGUUCGACUUAUAUACCCUUACAUGAUCU
rnacentral:rRNA from 1 species